AUGGUAAAUUGUUCACUCAGAU
rnacentral:miRNA from 1 species